rnacentral:misc_RNA from 1 species
CACCUUCCUCAGCGAGCGACUCCAGCAUCCACUCUUCGGCGAUGACGUUCCUCGUCCAGACGGGGCCGCGACCGGAGGCGAGUUCGUCUGGUUGGACCCGAACGACAGCCCCCACGCACGGGCUGGCGCAGCACAGCCGGCAUACCCUCUCUCUCAUGUUUGCAUAGAUCACCCGAAGACUGCACAGGUGGCAGGCCGUACCCCAUCCUCCCUGGGUCCAUCGGGGGGGGAUCUAGGGAGAGGCUGCCUUCUCAUAUCGAAAUCCUUCACCUUAAGGGGGGAGGGGGGAUCGCCCCCAUCUCCUCCGCCAAGCCCCGGGGGCGUUGACCCCGAGCGUUACAUGGGUACGCUCAGCGACGGGAUUCGCCGCAAGCAGAACAAGCUCCAUCGCGGCUCGCCUCACACCGGAGGACGACCUACGGACGCUCUUCCAGCCAUCCGCAAGAUGCCCUCUGAGCGCCUCAGCAGGAACGGGCUAUCCCAGGCAGACGGCACUGCUCUUCACCACGUGGCGCAGCGGCUUGUGCCGAGAAUCGACCGCAUCGCCACGCGUCAACACGGCCAGCAAGCCGCAUGCCCAUCACAGAACCGCCCUUUGCCGGAAUCCUUCGAUGCUGCGCGGAGCGGGGCUGUGGGGCCCGUGGCCCCGACGUUGCCGCGGUCUGGUGGCGCUGUGGGUGGGCGGCAGCAACAAGGGGCAACGCGAGGUUGCUGCACACGGCACCUUCUCCUCAAGGGCGGCGAGACCUUUGCGAGCCGGAAGAUGAUGGCUUACCAGGUGAUGAAGGUGAAGCGUUUUCCAGCUAGGAGGAUGCACCAUGCAGGCUGCCUCCAGCAACCUAUCGACCGAAUACAACACCGCGUUCGCCCGGGACAUCAGCAGCCCGAACAACGAGGACAGCGUGCACGCCUUGAGGGCGGCGUUCGACUUCUUCGUGACGCAAGCGCGGCACGGACGGCGUUUCGUUCUCGGCGCCCCUCGGACCAAAGACGAGGCCCUUAGUGGACGGAAUAGCCGAAGCCUUCUGCGCUGAGCCGGAGGCCGCAGCGUGGGCACGCGCUAGCCAGCACCGGUCGACCGAACGCGACGCCGUCAUCACGAAGCACAGAGGCCGUCACCUAAAACAACAGCAACACAGGGGCGGAGGAGGAGGCCCAGGCGCGAGCACACUCAAGGCGGCAGAAACGGGAGAAAAAUGUGCCGCCAACGCCCUCGUGCGACUCUUGCCUCAAAGGCCCCUUCCGCACACACACACACACACAUAAAUAUGCGCGCCGUUGGAUCCGUCUGCCUCGCCAACUGAGGGGGAGGGGGGCCUCAUCGAAAACGGACGCUCCUCAACACGGCAUGACGGGCCGAAGGGGCUCUCCUCCCGCUGCGUCCAGCACGGCCGGUGACACAGUCCGGCUUGCUACCCUUUUUCCCGCUACGUCGCACCUUUGGUGAAUCAUCGCCGGCUCCUCGCUGGGAAGACGGCCAGCAGCUGGGACGAAGUCUGCCGUCUGACCCCGCAGAGCUUCCUCAGCGUCUCCAGCGCCACAGUAGCGCCUAACCAGGGGGCGGAGGCGAAGUCAAGCUGGGGUGCGGCCCUUCCGUCCAGUCCUCUUCGGCGGCGUGCGGCACGGCCGCGCACGCCUCUCCGUAUUUUGGAUUGCCGGUCCAUGCGUGUGUGCCGCUGGUGGCGCGGUCCCUUACUCGCUCCUCUACACCUUGACCCUAUUCUCUCUCGCUCUCUCUCGCGCGCGCGCUGGCGAAG